AUUGAACGCUGGCGGCAGGCCUAACACAUGCAAGUCGAACGAGUGGCGGACGGGUGAGUAAUGUCUGGGAAACUGCCCGAUGGAGGGGGAUAACUACUGGAAACGGUAGCUAAUACCGCAUACCAUCGGAUGUGCCCAGAUGGGAUUAGCUAGUAGGUGGGGUAAAGGCUCACCUAGGCGACGAUCCCUAGCUGGUCUGAGAGGAUGACCAGCAACACGGGACCGGGGACACGGUCCAGACUCUUACGGGAGGCAGCAUUGGGGAAUAUUGCACAAUGGGCGCAAGCCUGAUGCAGCCAUGCCGCGUGUAUGAAGAAGGCUUUCGGGUUGUAAAGUACUUUAAGCGAGGAGGCGUUACUCGCAGAAGAAGCACCGGCUAACUCCGUGCCAGCAGCCGCGGUAAUUC
rnacentral:rRNA from 1 species